rnacentral:rRNA from 1 species
AGUGAACGCUGGCGGUAGGCCUAACACAUGCAAGUCGAACGGCAGCACAGUAAGAGCUUGCUCUUACGGGUGGCGAGUGGCGGACGGGUGAGGAAUACAUCGGAAUCUACUUUUUCGUGGGGGAUAACGUAGGGAAACUUACGCUAAUACCGCAUACGACCUACGGGUGAAAGCAGGGGAUCUUCGGACCUUGCGCGAUUGAAUGAGCCGAUGUCGGAUUAGCUAGUUGGCUGGGUAAAGGCCCACCAAGGCGACGAUCCGUAGCUGGUCUGAGAGGAUGAUCAGCCACACUGGAACUGAGACACGGUCCAGACUCCUACGGGAGGCAGCAGUGGGGAAUAUUGGACAAUGGGCGCAAGCCUGCUCCAGCCAUACCGCGUGGGUGAAGAAGGCCUUCGGGUUUUAAAGCCCUUUUGUUGGGAAAGAAAAGCAGCAGGUUAAUACCCCGCUGUUCUGACGGUACCCAAAGAAUAAGCACCGGCUAACUUCGUG